UGGGGCAUACCUCAGCCUGGUGGACCGGCAGCCUUUGGGAGGCCGUCACCCCUUGGACAUGAACGCGCUUUUAUAACAUCCGUUCCUUCAGUUUACAUUCAGGAAUUAAUAGUUUUCCGCCCAUCGUGUUGUGCGCUAAGAUUUUGUCUCCUAGAGUUCUGAGCAGAAGUGGAGAGAGGACGCCAUGCACCACCGCUUGUGGGAUUAGGCUUGUUCCGGAGUGGUCAGGCCAUGAUCUGGUGUCCAGGUGGUGGAGGGCACAGCCCUCUCUGCUCUUGGAGUCCGACUCAUUCUGAGGGAUGUAUGGUUGAGCUCCAUGACCUCCGAGGCUCCUUGCCAUUCUGUGAUGCUGGGACUGGAAGUCAAGAGGAGUUCAGCACCUGUUUUCUGAGCCAUCAUGGCCAUCUGCCAUCUCAGACUUAAUCUUAUCCAUCUUGGAGUCCACCACUUUUCAGCUGUGUGGAGAUGUUGCCAGCCUCUAAAACCACUAAA